GACGAACGCUGGCGGCGUGCUUAACACAUGCAAGUCGAACGGAAAGGCCCUGCUUUUGUGGGGUGCUCGAGUGGCGAACGGGUGAGUAACGCGUGAGUAACCUGCCCUUGACUUUGGGAUAACUUCAGGAAACUGGGGCUAAUACCGGAUAGGAGCUCCUGCUGCAUGGUGGGGGUUGGAAAGUUUCGGCGGUUGGGGAUGGACUCGCGGCUUAUCAGCUUGUUGGUGGGGUAGUGGCUUACCAAGGCUUUGACGGGUAGCCGGCCUGAGAGGGUGACCGGCCACAUUGGGACUGAGAUACGGCCCAGACUCCUACGGGAGGCAGCAGUGGGGAAUAUUGCACAAUGGGCGGAAGCCUGAUGCAGCAACGCCGCGUGCGGGAUGACGGCCUCCGGGUUGUAAACCGCUUUCGCCUGUGACGAAGCGUGAGUGACGGUAAUGGGUAAAGAAGCACCGGCUAACUACGUG
rnacentral:rRNA from 1 species